AGAAAACCAAGAAAUGCAGAUGCAAGAUAUCCAGAACUUGACAACUCAACAGAGCACCAAAAAUCAGGAUGCAAUGAAAAGUGUCAAGCAGACCACAGAUGAAGGCAGAGAAGAUCCCUUUGUGAAAAAGAGUGAAAGAGAAAGCAGAACUCCUAAAGAAAAUGGAGAAGAUGAACGAGGAGGGGCAGAAACAACUUCCGGCAGACCUGAGAGCCCUGGGGAAUUCUCAGAGUGCCACUACAUCUGAAGAGGACAGGAGGAAAGGAGAGGCUGCAAGAAAGCAUGAUGAACAGCAACAGUGGGAUCAUUUCUUCAAUGACUGACUGAGGAAUGCGGAGGAGGGGAACUGGAGAAAACAGUGCACUGCCGCGAGGGGAUUUCAAGGUGUUCCAAAAAAUCAAGCUAAGAUGACAACCUAGAAGCCACAUCAAAAAUGUCAGAGAUACUCGUAAGUUUGAAGGAUGUCACUGGCUCUAAAUGGAAAAGAGGGGGUGGAGUAGAGGAAGA